UGCAUCGGCCGGGAAUCGAACCCUGGCCGCCCGCGUGGCAGCCGAGCAUUCUACCACUGAACCACCGAUGC